UCAUUCUGUCAGAGACAAUAUCUUAUUUAAAAUGAGAUACUUUCAAAUAAAAUAAGUUUUUUCGGUGCAAAAAUUAUUGCUUUCCAAAAAUACACAUUCAACAUCCAUUUAUGUUGGCAAAGUAAUGCAUGAUAUUAUUUUUACAGAUUUUGUGUUUGUUUACAAAUGUUCUUGAAAAGUAUGAAAUUUGAGCCACCUAAACGAAUACUGGCAAUCAUUGUGUUUUCCUUUCAUUGUAAUCAUUGUGAAAAAAUUUGAUUGCAUUAUGUUCUUUUGCUUUAAAAAUUGUAUCCAUCUCGAGAUUGAUUGCUUUAUAUCAGUGCUGUGGAGUCGGAGUUGCUGAGUUGCUACAUUUUUAGCGGAGUCGGAGUCGGAGUCGCUAAACAAAAUCGCGGCUCCGACUCCAAUUGUAGAACUUCUCGGAAUUGCACGUGCAUAGUUGUAGUCGGAAUCGGAGUUGAAGUCGUAGUCGGAGUCGGAGUUGUACUCAAAAAAUUUCAACAACUGGAGUCGGAGUCGGAGUUGCAUUCAAAAAAUUUCAACGAGCCUGUAAUGAUUUAUGAAGACUUUUUUGAUAUCGAAAGUUUUUCAUUGGUAUUGAUUUUUUUUUAUUUUUUAGCUUUCCAUUAAAGAUGUAUUUCUUUUUAAAAACAUUAGAAACAGUUUAGAUAAAAACAUUUGUUUGCUGUUUUUUGAUUUCGACAAAAAAACCCAGCUGUUUUACUGUUACCCUUAAACAGUUUUUAAGAACCCUAAUUGUGAUUAGUCUUAUCAUUGAGCAACCUAUUUCACAAAAUACACAUUUUAAUUAAUUGUUAAAGUUUUGUUUUUUUCAAGUGUGUUUGUUCUUGUGUUAAUAAUAUAACUGUUUUUAUGUCAUGUUUUCAUUUUUCGUGUAGGCUGUUGUUUAUAUAUUGAA